AAAAAGACAAACCCUGAGUUUCCGUGUUCAACAUUUGACUGUAUGUCUUAUAUAAAUUUUUUUUUAUAAUUAGUAUUUUUAUUGUUGUUAGAUGGUAAAACAUAAUUAAUACUUUAUACGUGACUUAUUUUUUUAAUUUUUUUAUAUUUUUUUAAAAUAAGACGGACGGUCAAAUAUUGGAUACGGAAACCCAGG
rnacentral:pre_miRNA from 1 species